rnacentral:rRNA from 1 species
UACGUAGGGGGGCUAGCGUUGUCCGGAAUCAUUGGGCGUAAAGCGCGUGUAGGCGGCCCGGUAAGUCCGCUGUGAAAGUCGGGGGCUCAACCCUCGAAAGCCGGUGGAUACUGUCGGGCUAGAGUACGGAAGAGGCGAGUGGAAUUCCUGGUGUAGCGGUGGAAUGCGCAGAUAUCAGGAGGAACACCAAUAGCGAAGGCAGCUCGCUGGGACGUUACUGACACUGAGGCGCGAAAGCGUGGGGAGCGAACAGG